CCUACGGGAGGCUGCAGUGAGGAAUAUUGGUCAAUGGACGAGAGUCUGAACCAGCCAAGUAGCGUGAAGGAUGACUGCCCUAUGGGUUGUAAACUUCUUUUAUAUGGGAAUAAAACGUUCCACGUGUGGGAUUUUGUAUGUACCAUAUGAAUAAGGAUCGGCUAACUCCGUGCCAGCAGCCGCGGUAAUACGGAGGAUCCGAGCGUUAUCCGGAUUUAUUGGGUUUAAAGGGAGCGUAGGUGGAUUGUUAAGUCAGUUGUGAAAGUUUGCGGCUCAACCGUAAAAUUGCAGUUGAAACUGGCAGUCUUGAGUACAGUAGAGGUGGGCGGAAUUUGUGGUGUAGCGGUGAAAUGCUUAGAUAUCACGAAGAACUCCGAUUGCGAAGGCAGUUCACUGGACUGCAACUGACACUGAGGAUCGAAAGUGUGGGUAUCAAACAGGAUUAGAUACCCUUGUAGUC
rnacentral:rRNA from 1 species